CCUACUGUUACACACGCCCGUGUGGCGCAUUUCAGUGACUGGUUCACCGGAGGGAUGUUGUGUCUCACCAGAACCACCGCGGCUCAUUUUCACUCAUGAUUUUGCUUCGAUCGUCACCACCCGGUCAGUCGAUAUGAUUCGUCGUCGUUUUCACACUUGCAGCGAUGCCGUCUCACCACCUGACUAGUUCACCGGAUGGAUGUUGACGAUGUUGUGUCUCACCAGAACCACCGCGGCUCAUUUUCACUCAUGAUUUUGUUUCGAUCGUCACCGCCAGGCUAGUCCGAUAUGAUUCGUCGUCGUUUUCACACUUGCAGCGAUGCCGUCUCACCAUCCCACUCUAACGCACGAGAGAUUCCGAUACAGGACGCGCUGUACUCGACCGCGGUGUACGCCGUACCUACUGUCACACACGCCACACGCACAUUUCAGUCACUAGUUCACCGGAGGGAUGUUGUAUCUCGUCAGAACCACCGCGGCUCAUUUUCACUCGUGAUUUUGCAUCGAUCGUCACAAGGCAAUCCUAGUUUACUUUCAA